UACAGAGGGUGCAAGCGUUAAUCGGAAUCACUGGGCUUAAAGCGUUCGUAGGCGGGCUUGCAGGCGCGUUUGUGAAAGCCCCCCGGCUCAACCGGGGAACUGCUUCGCGAACCGCAAGUCUUGAGUCAAGUAGGGGCGGUCGGAACGAUAGGUGGAGCGGUGAAAUGCGUAGAUAUCUAUCGGAACGCCAAAGGUGAAGACAGGCCGCUGGGCUUGUACUGACGCUGAGGAACGAAAGCGUGGGGAGCAAACGGG
rnacentral:rRNA from 1 species